UCAUCCGGUCCAGCUACCAUUAAACGUUAGUUGGCAAAACAUUAAGGGGAUGGAGCUGAAGUGUCUCUACCAGAACCAAGGAUAUGUGGGAACGCUUGUUUGAUGAACGCUAUAAAGAAGAUAAUUAUAAUUCAUACAGACAAGGGUGGCUCCAUAUAUGCCCAUGCCAGUAUUCUUGCAAGACAUUUGCUUCUGAUAGUUAAUCAGUAACCUGUCUGAAUCAAAAGAAACGGGGUUCAUUAAUUAUUCUUCAACUGAAUAUUUUCUUCCUUCAGGACAUGGCUUCUCCUGUCAUGAAAGGCAGGUUACAGCAAGCAAAAGGCCGUGGUCGACAACGAUCAAUCUCAAUUCAGGGUGUUCCUCAUGAUGCUGUUCCUGAUGAAAGGGAAGAAUUUGUUUAAUUUGCUGGUGUUCUCGCAUGUGUUUGUUGAUUCCAGAGUUGAAGAAAAUCUGCAUGCGCAAGUUAGAGCAAGGUUUUCUUACCACCUGAAACGUAGUUGACGUCUUUCUGCUUGCAUUAUUGUGUGAUGCUCUUAGGCUUUGCCUCAAAUUUCCACUGCCUAAGGGUGGACAGUGAUGAAGCAGAGCCACCCUGUGCUCGAAAAGGAACUUCUUGAUUCCUUUGUUGAUGUAGACAAACCAAAGUAUCACAUGCUUCAAGAGAAGGCUCUUGUUCAUAUAUGCAGAGAUGAUUGCAGAACAAUUGGACGACAUGAUAAAGAUUUCAGAAAGACUCAAGCACCUUGCCCUUAUUCAGCAUGCAACAGACUAGGAUUUCUGAUCCGCCAUUUCGCAGGUUGCAGGUGGAGAAUAUCUGAAGGUUGCGUUCAUUGCAAGAGAAUGUGCAGCUGUUAGAGCUAGGCUCUCGUCUCUGCGCUGAUUCCAACAUGUGCAGAGCUCCUCAUAGGUGCAUGUAGGCCUUCAGUUACAGUAGUUGGUUUUGAUCCUGAGUGUUCUGCAUUUGAGACUUCAACUAAAAAGCUUAAGCAAAUUUUGUUAUUUUUAGGAAUUUCUAGAUGAGGAUCAGGACGCAAAGCAAGAAGGAUAAGAUCAAGCGGCGAGUACUAGUGACAAAGAACUUUGAACAAAGAGAAUUGGGAGUCUCCACUCUUUUCAUCUGCAGUUUCUUGAUAAAAAAAAAAAAAAAAACAGCAAAAUGUUUUUCCAUAAAUAAUUUGGUUUUAUUUGCCUAUUUUUCCUAGAAUAUUAGAGCUUUGCACUGAAUCUUGCCACCGACACUCCCUGUAUUAGAAAAGUUUUGUUGGCAGAUGCAUAUGAAACUUGAAGUAGCAAAUCCCAAUUAAGAGGAGGAAAUAGUGCCACUUGUGGAAAGAUGUCAAGUUGAAAUGCUGGUAGCUGGUAGCUGGUGGCUGGUGGACCUCUUGCUGAUGAAUAUACCUGGGUGAUAUUUUUGUUGAGAAGUAUUUGAGAAGGUCAGCUUCAUUCAUUUAAUGAUGUUGACCCACAGUUGCAACACCCAACACUCGGAAACAGAAUAGCUAAUAUCCUAUGGUUUUCUCACUUUUCCUUCAUUUUCUCUGCAGCCAAACAAAGGGCUUUAGUGGCUUAGGCUACUUAACCAAGAAUUAGAUUUUAAGCAAGAGGAAUUGUUGAGUGAAAUGGGCUUAUGUAUUUCUUAUUUAUUUGGGGAAGAACCAUUUUAAAUUUCAUCACAUCUAUGAGCUACACAACAAAAGCAAUUCAUUAUAUUGGCAAAUGAAAAAAACUAAAACCAAAGACUCUCCAAAGCCAAUUCACUACACAACAAAAGCAAUUCAGUUUACACUUUAUCAAGAUUUUUUUAAUCAU